CCUGGUGGUUGGAGCGAGGUGGUACUACCUCUUCCCAUUCCGAACAGAGCCGUAAAACAUCUUAGCGCGGACGAUAGUUGUGGGGCAACCCACCGCGAAAAUACGUCAUCGCCAGGA
rnacentral:rRNA from 1 species